rnacentral:rRNA from 1 species
AUUGAACGCUGGCGGCAGGCUUAACACAUGCAAGUCGAGCGGGGGAAGGUAGCUUGCUACUGGACCUAGCGGCGGACGGGUGAGUAAUGCUUAGGAAUCUGCCUAUUAGUGGGGGACAACAUCUCGAAAGGGAUGCUAAUACCGCAUACGUCCUACGGGAGAAAGCAGGGGAUCUUCGGACCUUGCGCUAAUAGAUGAGCCUAAGUCGGAUUAGGUAGUUGGUGGGGUAAAGGCCUACCAAGGCGACGAUCUGUAGCGGGUCUGAGAGGAUGAUCCGCCACACUGGGACUGAGACACGGCCCAGACUCCUACGGGAGGCAGCAGUGGGGAAUAUUGGACAAUGGGCGCAAGCCUGAUCCAGCCAUGCCGCGUGUGUGAAGAAGGCCUUAUGGUUGUAAAGCACUUUAAGCGAGGAGGAGGCUACUUUAGAUAAUACCUAGAGAUAGUGGACGUUACUCGCAGAAUAAGCACCGGCUAACUCUGUGCCAGCCGCCGCGGUAACAC